UUCAUGGCCGCCGGGGGCUCUCAGCCCCGGGCCCGCGCCCGCCGGAGACACCACGAACUCUGUCUGAUCUAGUGAAGUCUGAGUUGAUUGUAUCGCAAUCAGUUAAAACUUUCAACAAUGGAUCUCUUGGUUCCGGCAUCGAUGAAGAACGCAGCGAAAUGCGAUAACUAGUGUGAAUUGCAGAAUUCCGUGAAUCAUCGAGUCUUUGAACGCACAUUGCGCCCCCUGGUAUUCCGGGGGGCAUGCCUGUCCGAGCGUCAUUGCUGCCCAUCAAGCACGGCUUGUGUGUUGGGUCGUCGUCCCCUCUCCGGGGGGGACGGGCCCCAAAGGCAGCGGCGGCACCGCGUCCGAUCCUCGAGCGUAUGGGGCUUUGUCACCCGCUCUGUAGGCCCGGCCGGCGCUUGCCGAACGCAAAUCAAUCUUUUUCCAGGUUGACCUCGGAUCAGGUAGGGAUACCCGCUGAACUUAAGCAUAUCAAUAAGCGGAGGAAG
rnacentral:rRNA from 1 species